UAUUUUAGCUUGCUAAGAUAGAUGGCGACCGGCGCACGGGUGCGUAACGCGUAUGCAACCUGCCUGUAAUUAGGGAAUAACCCGGUGAAAGUCGGACUAAUACCCUAUAUUCAUCUUUCUCCGCAUGGAGAGGGAUGGAAAGAUUUAUUGAUUACAGAUGGGCAUGCGUCCCAUUAGCUAGUUGGUAAGGUAACGGCUUACCAAGGCAACGAUGGGUAGGGGGACUGAGAGGUUGACCCCCCACACUGGUACUGAGACCUGGACCAGACUCCUACGGGAGGCAGCAGUGAGGAAUAUUGGUCAAUGGGCGAGAGCCUGAACCAGCCAAGUCGCGUGAAGGACGACGGUUCUAUGGAUUGUAAACUUCUUUUGUAGAGGAAUAAUGGCACGCU
rnacentral:rRNA from 1 species